rnacentral:rRNA from 1 species
UACGGGGGGGGUAAGCGUUGUUCGGAAUUACUGGGCUUAAAGAGUUCGUAGGCGGCGCAGAAAGUGGGGUGUGAAAGCCCUCGGCUCAACCGAGGAAUUGCGCUCCAAACUACUGUGCUUGAGGAAGCUAGAGGUGAGCAGAACUGAUGGUGGAGCGGUGAAAUGCGUUGAUAUCAUCAGGAAUACCGGAGGCGAAGGCGGCUCACUGGGGCGUUUCUGACGCUGAGGAACGAAAGCCAGGGUAGCGAACGGG